rnacentral:lncRNA from 1 species
GCUGGAGGGGGGAAUGCAAUUCAAAUGUAUGAAAACGAGACUUUGGGGGUGGCUGGGGCAACCAAUGUCACCCUCAGAUGAAGAUGUCCUGAUGCAGAGCUGCUGAGGACUACAGAUGGAGAGGGGUGAAGCCCUGUUGACAGAUUCAUGCUUGAGGAACCAGAACACCCCCCAGCACUCACAGCUCAUCAUCAGGUGGUCCACAGCACAGGCUGUGGGUAGGUGUAGUGGCUAGGCUGGCCAUAAGGGUCUCUAGCUGCCUACAUUAAAGCCAUCUAUAUGAUUUGUUGGUCAUUCAGAUUUAGCUAAAGAAUAAAAGGGAGUGGCUGGAAAUUUUUUCUGCCAGGAACCUGGUUUCAGGGACAAGGAGCCUGAAUGGGGAGGCAGAAGCCACUCAUACACUUUGUGCAUCUCUUGUUCCCUCCAUAGACUCUUCUGUUCUUCCUCUGGAGGGGUGCUCCUCACAUUCUGGGAAACAUUGCUGCAGGGUUGAAACUGGAAGCGUUGCCUUCAAGGACAGUUCCCAUCUACACAGCUGCCAUGGCACGAUGAGAUGUUGUUAGGAGCUGAAGGUCUUGCCCAAGAAAUCAGUAAACAUCCAAGCCAAACAAGCUUAACACACUCUUUGAUAAAGCGCAUUAUUCUUGCCUCUUCAGUGAGUGGCCUUCACCUUCACUGAUGGCAAAUGCUUGCCGACAAUCACUGCAGGCAGGGCUUCAACAAAAGGACGGAAAGCAUAAUGCUAGCUAGAAGCAGCAGUGAGUUGCUGCACUGUGUCUGAUUUUAAGCAGGGAAAUGGAUUUGAUUUUUAUAGACAUCUUCUGCACUUCAGAAAAGUACUGUUAUUGCAGACACCAAACUGAGUAAGAAAUAACAGUUCUGCUGCCAGUGCAGACAAAACACUCCCCAAAGCCUGUUAUUAAUAUAAAAGUAGUGGCGUUGCUGAUGAGAUUAAAAAAAACAAAAAAUAAAUUAAAAUAAAAUAAAUUAAAAUAAAAUAAA